rnacentral:rRNA from 1 species
UUCCAGACUCCUACGGGAGGCAGCAGUGGGGAAUAUUGCGCAAUGGGCGAAAGCCUGACGCAGCGACGCCGCGUGAGGGAUGAAGGUCUUCGGAUCGUAAACCUCUGUCAGCAGGGAAGAACGGCCACUGUGCUAAUCAGCAGUGAAUUGACGGUACCUGCAAAGGAAGCACCGGCUAACUCCGUGCCAGCAGCCGCGGUAAUACGGAGGGUGCGAGCGUUAAUCGGAAUCACUGGGCGUAAAGCGCGCGUAGGCGGCUUUUCAAGUCAGGGGUGAAAUCCCACGGCCCAACCGUGGAACUGCCUUUGAAACUGUAGAGCUUGAGUGUCGGAGAGGGUGGCGGAAUUCCAGGUGUAGGAGUGAAAUCCGUAGAUAUCUGGAGGAACACCGGUGGCGAAGGCGGCCACCUGGACGACAACUGACGCUGAGGUGCGAAAGCGUGGGUAGCAAACAGGAUUAGAUACCCUAGUAA